GUGCAAACAAAGCGUGCUUCAGACUUCCUAACCUGGCUUUAAAAGCUUUGUUUCAUUUUAUCCGAUAGCACAAGGCAUGGAACAGGCAGAGACAAUUUACAUGAUGCAUAGCCCCUGUAAGCAAUGAUCCUACCAGGCUCACCAGUUGAGCAAUACCUAGGGAAAUAUUGAAACAAUUUCUACCGAAUAUUGGCCACAAGCAAGCUACAUAUUGCUUCUAGCUACAGUCAUUUCACUGAUGUGUAUUUAAAGAAUCAGGAAAGUCUGUCCCUACUAUUGGCCAGGCUUAAUAUGACCUUAUAACUCUUCUCAGGAAAUAUGCCCAUUAAGUUCAAUUUCUUUUUGGCUUUCUCUCAGGUUUAUUGCAUUAGAUAGAAACAAACAACACCUUUUUAUUUCUGUGUGUGCAUCCCCAUGACCUUUACAUUGUAUGUGAGUGGUGGAGGAGUCUGGGUGCUGCCAUCCCCACCCCACCAGGAAGUUCCAGUGCUGCUAGUUUUUCCAGAUGUGCUUCAGGGGAGAAUGAAAUCGACCCACCUCCAUCAAAUGAGCAGCCUCUCAGGAGACACAACUUUGGGUUAUUAUUCUAAACGAGAUUUUCUGCUGCAGAGGAUCCACUUAGAGCCGUUCCUGCUCCCCGUGUCCUCCGGGCAGGAAGUCUCUGCUCAGGCAGCUAAUGGCUUGCUAUUUUUCUCCUAUGGAAAAACAACAAACAAAGAGAGGAUCAUCAUCGGCAAAGCUGUUCAUAUUACAAAUCCAGUAAUCACAGGAGACAUAUAGAUUUUUGUAUGAAAAUUUUUCUAUAUUUAUGGAGAGGUUCAGAUUGUCAUUCUUUUCCACACAGCUAUUUGCAAAUCUGUACUGAACACUGAAUUUUGAAGCUGGUGCUGUGGAAGCAUUGGUCAGCAGCUCUGCUGCUUCUGAACCUGAUGGUAAUGGAUGGGCUAAGAAAUCUGGACACGUUCAUUGCACCGAGGGACCGUGUGCUUCUGGAGGUAAUGUGCAUCAGAUGAGAUGUGACACUCCCCGAAGAAACACAGAGGCAUUCAGACAAGCCAAAUUCUUUGCUGUUUAUAUUCUCCUUUACCAAUCAGGAUGUCAGGAUGGAGGCUGAAUUUAUAAAUACCGGAAAGGAGUUUGUUGCAUGACAGGAGCUGCUGGAGAAAAGAAAUAGGUUAGAGUUUUUGCCUUAUUGUGUCCUGAAGAAAAGUGAUUUUCUAUGCUUGGAGUUGAAAUUAAAUAAAUAAGUUUAGACUUGGAAAUAGAGAUUUCA
rnacentral:lncRNA from 1 species